ACCUGAGCAACAGAGAAUGAAAUCAGAAGGCUCUGCUACAUUUACGACCCAAGAAAGGAAAAUAUAUGUCAUGAAGAAUGAAGGUGAAGAUUGCAAGGAGUGUUCACAGAACUGCCCCAAGACAGAUUUCCUGUGGUUUCUGUUUAAUUUUACAGCUCAGAGACAGAAUGGGAAUGAAGCAUGAUAGAAAAUCUGCUACUAUGAUUUUUUUUCUCCAUUCAUGCUCUUGAUACUUUUAAUUAAUAAAGGACAGAUACUGCCUUGAAUUUGGGCAUGACUCACUCAAAAUCCAUUGGACUUUUUUCAGUUACUGUAUUGAACUGAGGGCUCCUAAAUGCUACCGUGCACUACAGCAUAACUAGACAGUCCUGGGUUGAUAAAUAUUGAAAGAUGGCAACAUUUCUGUUCCAUGUCUGUGAUUAAUAACACUCCAUAUGUAUAAUUACAUAUGAAUUCUUGGAAUGUGGCAUAUAUUCUGCAAAACAUAACACUUGGAAAUCAGUUGGGUUCACACACAUAUUUCCAUGCUUUCGCUGCAAAAGUUUUGAAGAUAUAUAGAAUAUAGAGCCAUAAUCAACCUUGUGAUUAUGAAGCAGAAGCCACUACGGUCAGCUACAUUUGCCAUAUUUGCUGAAAUCCAUAUGGUCAGGUGAACCUUUUCAUUGGUGGCUUUGCUCUGUGGAAUGACCUUUCCACUGAAUGUUAUAUUCUUUUAGACACCAGGAAAAAACCUACCUUUUGUUCGGUUAGGCUUUUAGUGGCUGAUGGGUUAAGUCAUUUUGAUGAUACUGUUAAUUAUGUAAUUGAUGGGAAGUAUUUUAAUGUUCCUGUUUGUAUGUACUGCAGUAACCAACAGUGUAUGAACUAAGUGAUUACUAGAAGCCAACAUAGAUUUGUCAAGAACUGAUUUAAAGCAUAACUCUAACUAAUAUGACUUGCUUAUGUGUUUGGGGGAAACGUAGGGAAUCCCACAAAGUAAACUCAUUGCCAUCCACCCGCUCUCUCCAUGCUGUCUUCCCCUUACCUCAUCUGCUGUCAAAGUAAGGAAGUGGGAUUAGGUGAGGCUGGGCAAACAGCAACAUUUCCCUUCCCUGAGCGGCUGAUAGCUGUGCUGCUCUAGACACUGUUGAGUGACACAUCUGGACCUAAUUUAAUGUGGUUUCUGGCUUCCUUUUUGAAACUGAAACCAUCUUGCUCACCUUUAUGUGUGUUGGGAGGUCACUGUGAAAAAGUGCCAUAUAAAUGAAUGUAAAUG